GCGUACGUACACAUCCUUUGAGAAGAGAGAGAAGAAGCCAGCGAGGAGAGAGAGACAUAUAUUUGGGUGAGGAUUAGCAAUGGAAUAGUACGCAGUUACUACAGCGCCAUAAAUUUUGUCGAUAACGAGUCCGGUGUCCAGUUUUGAUCCAGCCGUGACUCGGGAAGUAGUGUUUCGGUUGAUCUACAUAUUUUGAAAAAGUGCUUGACAAUCGGUAGCUAGUGAAAAAACUAUAUCAGUGGAAAUUUCGUGAAUUCCGUAACUCGGAGAUUUUUCCAUAAGCACUGAUUCAUACUUGACAGGCGUCGAAGGUGCCUGGUUCUUCCCAAUACGGUUCAACUCUGAAUUACUAUCCCUACGUUGUGCUGAAAAAUUCGUAUAAGGUCUUCCGUCUUCGAUACAACGGCAGUUCAGCUUCAGCGACAGCAGCGGCGACUUCAGGAGCGACAUCAGUAGCAACGCAGUCUCCUUAGAGCGACGAUGGAGAGAGGCAACG
rnacentral:misc_RNA from 1 species